CAAUAUAUACAAGAAGUCUCGAGUAGAAAUGACUAAACUAGAGUAGAUAGAGAAGGAUCAGCCUCGGGUGACAGUAAGCUCACCCUGCUCCAAAUCAGUACUAGAAGGUAGGAAUCACAUCGAUAUCGACUGCUACUACUCGAAUCUGCAUCAGGGAAAAGAUGCAAAAGUGUAGUAUUAGUACCAAAGCAACGGGUACUCAGUAAGCAUCAUCGGCCGACUGAGCUCAAUACAGAAAUGUAUAACUAUAAUGCGAGAGUGUAAUCUAAGUCAUCAGUAAGGGAUACAAAGGUAAACAACUACCAUACUAUGCAAAUGCGGUAAAGGAAUAAAUAUAAAUGAUACAAAAAAAUAAAUAAUGCAGUAAUAACAGACAAAUCAAACAUAACUUAACUAUACCCCAUAAGCCCGUUAGGCAUACUAAAGAAGACAAUUAACCCAACUGUACCCACAUAAGCCAGUGGAACACACAAGAAGUAAUUAAAAAAAAAACAUAAAUAAUCCGUAGCUAAACCGAUCCCAAGAAGUCAUAGUAGUCAUCCAGAUGUGCACCGGGUUUGAACCAGCACCAAUAGGUAGUAAUGAGAGUCCAUACACCAGACUCAAACUGGUAGCGAUGGAUAAUAACAAGAGGACACGUGCUGGAUUUAAACUGGAUAUAGUGGGUAAUAACGAAAGGCCACAUAUAUAAUAUAUGACAGAACUCAUAAUUAGAUGAGAAACUCGAACCAAAAAUCAAAGGAACCACAACCAUAAUCAGAUGUGGCACUCAAACAAGAACUCGAAGGAACCACAACCAUAAUCAGAUGUCGGACUCAAACCGAAACUCAAGGGAACCACAACCAUAACCAGAUCCCAGACUCGAAUUGGAACUCAUAGUAACCAUCCCACUGUAAUACUAAAAUUUAUACCAUACCAUAACAAUGUCAAUGUGGUACCAAAAUUCACAAUUAAUGACUGAAAUAAAGUACAUACUGAACCUAAAUAGAAGCUAAAAUACGUCUAAUUACCAUAUGAAUAUCUUAAUUUAAAAGGAGCAAAUUCAAGGUUUUACAAUUUAAUUCCGCGUUCUAAAGUGCUAGACUCUAUAUUAUAUUGAAAGAUAAAAUACCAAAAUUUACUAGAACGAGGUCCCAAUUCGAAUAAAUAAGGCAUGUUAUAUAUAUAUCAAAUGGUACGGAACUACAAGUACUUAUCUUGAACUAGCAUAAUAGUACACAAUUUCAGUAAAUAAGCUCAAUCUAAAGGUAGGGUAAGACUAGCCUACCUGGACGCCAAAGCUAUAAUAUCUUUCCGCGAAACCUCCGAAUAGUACCACUAGAAUAUGAACUUGAAUAAAGGGAUAAGGAUAAUUUACUACACCAACUCGAAACUUAACUUUCGAACAGAAAGGGAAGAAUCAUAGUAUAUAUAUUUAUAUAGAGGGAUAUAAGUUGCAUGAUG
rnacentral:lncRNA from 1 species